GGUUCAUUCCUCCAGAUUCUGUCUCUGAUAAAAGAUGUGAUUGAUAUCAGGUGUGUUGGCUUUCAUCAGAGGUUUAUUUAUAAAGCAGAAAACAUCAUUAAAGGUCAUGUGACCAAGUGUACCAAUACAAGAGUUAUAGAAGAGAAAAGAAGUAAACCUAACCGGCUUCAUCUAUUGUCA